UAGGGAAUAUUGGGCAAUGGGCGAGAGCCUGACCCAGCCAUGCCGCGUGAAGGAAGAAGGCCUUCUGGGUUGUAAACUUCUUUUGAUCGGGAACAAAGAGCUCUUGCGAGAGCAGUUGAGGGUACCGAUAGAAUAAGCACCGGCUAACUCCGUGCCAGCAGCCGCGGUAAUACGGAGGGUGCAAGCGUUGUCCGGAUUUAUUGGGUUUAAAGGGUGCGUAGGCGGUUCUUUAAGUCAGUGGUGAAAGCCUCCAGCUUAACUGGAGAAAUGCCAUUGAUACUGAAGAACUUGAGUACAGACGAGGUAGGCGGAAUUGACAGUGUAGCGGUGAAAUGCAUAGAUAUUGUCAAGAACACCGAUUGCGAAGGCAGCUUACUAGACUGUAACUGACGCUGAGGCACGAAAGUGCGGGGAUCAAACAGGAUUAGAUACCCUGGUAGUCCGCACCGUAAACGAUGAAGACUCGAUGUGUGCGAUAAACAGUACGCGUCCAAGCGAAAGCGAUAAGUCUUCCACCUGGGGAGUACGAUCGCAAGAUUGC
rnacentral:rRNA from 1 species